GGGGAUGUGGUUCAGUGGUUAAAGCACCCUUGGAUUCAAUCCCUGGUACCAAUAAUACAUAGUCAUAAAAGGGCUGGUGGUAUAGUAUACCUCAGAUAGAGUGCUUGCCCAAGGACCUGGGUUCAAUCCCCAUCUUCACCC
rnacentral:tRNA from 1 species